rnacentral:rRNA from 1 species
UACAGAGGUCUCAAGCGUUGUUCGGAUUCAUUGUGCGUAAAGGGUGCGUAGGUGGCAUGGUAAGUCGGAUGUGAAAUCCCGGGGCUCAACCCCGGAACUGCAUUCGAUACUGCUGCGCUAGAGUACUGGAGAGGAGAUUGGAAUUUACGGUGUAGCAGUGAAAUGCGUAGAUAUCGUAAGGAAGACCAGUGGCGAAGGCGGAUCUCUGGACAGUUACUGACACUGAGGCACGAAGGCCAGGGGAGCAAACGGG